rnacentral:tRNA from 1 species
GUCAGAAUGGCCGAGCGGUCUAAGGCGCCAGACUCAAGGUUCAAUGCCUUCCUCAUAGCUGAGUAUUCUGGUCUCCACAUGGAGGCGUGGGUUCAAAUCCCACUUCUGACA